rnacentral:rRNA from 1 species
AUUGAACGCUGGCGGUAUGCUUAACACAUGCAAGUCGAACGGUAGCAGGCCUUCGGGCGCUGACGAGUGGCGGACGGGUGAGUAACGCGUAGGAAUCUGCCCUGUAGUGGGGGACAACUUAGGAAACUUAAGCUAAUACCGCAUACGCCCUUCGGGGGAAAGCGGGGACCGUUCGGGCCUCGCGCUAUAGGAUGAGCCUGCGUUGGAUUAGCUAGUUGGUAGGGUAAAGGCCUACCAAGGCGACGAUCCAUAGCUGGUCUGAGAGGACGAUCAGCCACACUGGGACUGAGACACGGCCCAGACUCCUACGGGAGGCAG